UACAUUCAAUAAGCGGAGGAAAAGGAAACUACCAAGGAUUCCCUUAGUAACGGCGAGUGAAGCGGGAAGAGCUCAAAUUUGAAAGCUGGCAGAAAUGUCCGCGUUGUAAUCUCGAGAGGUGUUUUCCGUGCUGGCCCAUGGACAAGUUCUUUGGAAUUGGAUGUCAUAGAGGGUGAGAACCCCGUACAUGCCAUGGACGUACAGUGCUUUGUGAUACACCUUCGAAGAGUCGAGUUGUUUGGGAAUGCAGCUCAAAAUGGGUGGUAAAUUCCAUCUAAAGCUAAAUAUUGGGGAGAGACCGAUAGCAAACAAGUACCGUGAGGGAAAGAUGAAAAGCACUUUGGAAAGAGAGUUAAACAGUACGUGAAAUUGUCAAAAGGGAAGCGCUUCACGUCAGAUAUGUGUGGCGGUAUUCAGCAGUCACUUGUGGCUGUGUAUUUGCCGUCGCACAGGCCAGCAUCGAUUCUAUGUGUCGGAUAAGGGUACGGGGAACGUAGCAUCGGCUUCGGUCGGUGUGUUAUAGCCCCGUACUGGAUACGUCGCGUGGGAUCGAGGUCAGCAGCGCACCCGAAAGGGCCGGUCUUCGGACACGUUUGCGCUUAGGAUGCUGGCGUAAUGGCUUGAAGCGACCCGUCUUGAAACACGGACCAAGGAGUCUAACAUGUCUGCGAGUCUUUGGGUGGCAAACCCAUGGGCGCAAUGAAAGUGAAUGCAGGUGGGAUCCCGUUUGGGUGCACCAUCGACCGAUCCAGAUCUUCUGUGACGGAUUUGAGUAAGAGCAUAUAUGUUGGGACCCGAAAGAUGGUGAACUAUGCCUGGACAGGGCGAAGCCAGAGGAAACUCUGGUGGAGGCUCGUAGACGUUCUGACGUGCAAAUCGAUGUUCAGAUC
rnacentral:rRNA from 1 species